rnacentral:rRNA from 1 species
UACGAAGGGGGCUAGCGUUGUUCGGAGUUACUGGGCGUAAAGGGCGCGUAGGCGGCGCAUCAAGUCAGGCGUGAAAGCCCUGGGCUCAACCCGGGAAUUGCGCUUGAGACUGGUGUGCUUGAGUACGGGAGAGGAUGAGUGGAAUUCCCAGUGUAGAGGUGAAAUUCGUAGAUAUUGGGAAGAACACCGGUGGCGAAGGCGGCUAUCUGGACCGUAACUGACGCUGAGGCGCGAAAGCGUGGGGAGCAAACAGG